rnacentral:rRNA from 1 species
ACUCCUACGGGAGGCAGCAGUGGGGAAUAUUGCACAAUGGGCGCAAGCCUGAUGCAGCCAUGCCGCGUGUGUGAAGAAGGCCUUCGGGUUGUAAAGCACUUUCAGUUGUGAGGAAGGUGGUGUCGUUAAUAGCGGCAUCAUUUGACGUUAGCAACAGAAGAAGCACCGGCUAACUCCGUGCCAGCAGCCGCGGUAAUACGGAGGGUGCGAGCGUUAAUCGGAAUUACUGGGCGUAAAGCGCAUGCAGGUGGUUUGUUAAGUCAGAUGUGAAAGCCCGGGGCUCAACCUCGGAACUGCAUUUGAAACUGGCAGACUAGAGUACUGUAGAGGGGGGUAGAAUUUCAGGUGUAGCGGUGAAAUGCGUAGAGAUCUGAAGGAU